GGAGUGGCAGAAUUAAUGCACUGAUUUUAAGCGUCAUUUAUAAGAAUUAAUCUUCUCC
rnacentral:tRNA from 2 species